rnacentral:rRNA from 1 species
GACGAACGCUGGCGGCGUGCCUAAUACAUGCAAGUCGAGCGGACUGAUUAAGAGCUUGCUCUUAUGACGUUAGCGGCGGACGGGUGAGUAACACGUGGGCAACCUGCCCUGUAGAUCGGGAUAACACCGAGAAAUCGGUGCUAAUACCGGGUAAUAUCUGAGAUCACAUGAUCUUAGGUUAAAAGAUGGCUCCGGCUAUCACUACAGGAUGGGCCCGCGGCGCAUUAGCUAGUUGGUAAGGUAAUGGCUUACCAAGGCGACGAUGCGUAGCCGACCUGGGGGGGUGAUCGGCCACACUGGGACUGAGACACGGCCCAGACUCCUACGGGAGGCAGCAGUAGGGAAUCUUCCGCAAUGGACGAAAGUAUGACGGAGCAACGCCGCGUGAGUGAUGAAGGGUUUCGGCUCGUAAAGCUCUGUUGUUAGGGAAGAAACAGUACCGAACGAACUAGGUCGGUAGCUUGACGGUACCUAACCAGAAAGCCACGGCUAACUACGUG